GAUGAACGCUAGCAGGAGGCUUAAUACAUGCAAGUCGAGGGGUAACGAUGGUGCUUGCACCAGGCGACGACCGGCGAACGGGUGAGUAACGCGUACAUAACCUACCUAUAAGAGAGGGAUAGCCCUGGGAAACUGGGAUUAAUACCACAUAAUAUUACAUUUUUACGAUGUAAUUAAAGCUCCGGCGCUUAUAGAUGGAUGUGCGUCCCAUUAGCUAGUUGGUAAGGUAGAGGCUUACCAAGGCGACGAUGGGUAGGGGGCGUGAGAGCGUGAUCCCCCACACGGGUACUGAGACACGGACCCGACUCCUACGGGAGGCAGCAGUAAGGAAUAUUGGACAAUGGAGGCAACUCUGAUCCAGCCAUCCUGCGUGUAGGAUGACUGCCCUAUGGGUUGUAAACUACUUUUAUAAGAGAAGAAAAGCUGGGAUUUAUCCUGGUCUGACGGUAUCUUAUGAAUAAGCACCGGCUAACUCCG
rnacentral:rRNA from 1 species